rfam:Bacteroidales bacterium 43_8 Ley3_66761_scaffold_5259, whole genome shotgun sequence.
UAUAUAUUUUGGUUAUGUAACAAUUCCGCUGUGAAGCGGGGUUGUUACUUUUUU